GUGCUCAUUUCGGCAGCAAAUAUAUGAAAAUUGGAAUGAUGCAGAGAAGAUUAGCAUGGCUCCUGUGCAUGGAUGACACACAAUAUUUGAAGUGCUCCAUACUUUA
rnacentral:snRNA from 1 species